rnacentral:lncRNA from 1 species
ACAUGAGAAAGGGCACUGGGGGAACCUCCCAGCUCCAGGGUAAGACAGAGGCCACACGUAACAUGUUUCAUAACUGGACUCUGUCUAGUGCUGGAACUCGGUCCCAGAGCUGUGCCUGGCACUGGCUUUUCAGCUGUGGAAUUACAGAAGUCUUGGGGACUCUGUUGUUCGCUGAGGCCGCAGAAGCAGCAAACAAUUCACUAACUGGUUUUUGAAGCAUCCCGAUUGUUUGAUAACCAGCAUUUCUGUAUCAGGGCAAACAAGAACAAAUACCAACUAUGGAGAGUGCUGCUUGGGAACGUACCCUUGGGAGGAUGUUGCUUAUUAGAGCUGACCUUCAUCCCUGCAGCACUCUGGCCGGCGUGGAGGGGACAGAGCCCAGCUUUCUUCCCA